UAGAGUUUGAUCCUGGCUCAGAGCGAACGCUGGCGGCAUGCUUAACACAUGCAAGUCGCACGGGCACUUCGGUGUCAGUGGCGGACGGGUGAGUAACGCGUAGGUAUCUAUCCUUGGGUGGGGGACAACUGUGGGAAACUACAGCUAAUACCGCAUGAUAACUGAGUGUUUAAAGGCGCAAGUCGCCUGGGGAGGAGCCUGCGUACGAUUAGCUUGUUGGUGGGGUAAAGGCCUACCAAGGCGACGAUCGUUAGCUGGUCUGAGAGGAUGAUCAGCCACAUUGGGACUGAGACACGGCCCAAACUCCUACGGGAGGCAGCAGUGGGGAAUAUUGGACAAUGGGCAAAAGCCUGAUCCAGCAAUGCCGCGUGUGUGAAGAAGGUCUUCGGAUUGUAAAGCACUUUCGACGGGGACGAUAAUGACGGUACCCGUAGAAGAAGCCCCGGCUAACUUCGUGCCAGCAGCCGCGGUAAUACGAAGGGGGCUAGCGUUGCUCGGAAUGACUGGGCGUAAAGGGCGCGUAGGCGGAUGGCACAGUCAGAUGUGAAAUUCCCGGGCUUAACCUGGGGGCUGCAUUUGAUACGUGUUGUCUAGAGUGAGGAAGAGGGUCGUGGAAUUCCCAGUGUAGAGGUGAAAUUCGUAGAUAUUGGGAAGAACACCCGGUGGCGAAGGCGGCGACCUGGUCCUUGACUGACGCUGAGGCG
rnacentral:rRNA from 1 species